UGCAGCAAAGUGAUCUUUAAAAAGAAAUAUGCUAGUUCCAUCUUUUUCCAGCGUCGCCGUCAUCAAAUUCAAUCUCAUGCGUGAGAUUACAAUCACCCAAAAUUCUACCACUUAUUUCCACCACACCUUGUUCUAUUUUGAUAUCAAGUAAUUUAUGUUCAGACUCAUUCAUAGGACAAUUCUUUCGGUUCGACGCAGAUCCGUUUUUGUGAUGGAUAUUUUGUUUCGGAAGUCAAGAUUUACUGGAGCAGAUUGAUCGUAAAAUGUCGUAGUUCAAGUUGAAGGAGUUCAAGUGUUACCGUUUAGUCUUCUGUAACAGUUGUACAGUUGUAAAUAGAUCACCUAGUAAUGGAGUUGUAAUAGUUUGAGUUUUGUAAGCCUUAGCACUUGACAAUGUGGUCAAGUGUGGCGGUGAUACCUCCGAUUUAGGUGUAAGUUUCCGCAAUUUCUAUAAAGUCUUUUAUAUUUCUUAUUUAUUUAAAGAUUAGUAAA